ACCGUGUGAGACGCACCUGCUUCCCCUUCCACUGUGAUGUGUGGGAACGGACUAACACAGAGGCCAUAUAUACAAAAUUUGGGUGUGCUUUCCUAUUUAACAAGGAACUUUGAGUGAGGUUCAGAGCAAGAGAAAUGCUGGCCUGCUGACUAGGCUGCCAGACAAGCCUUUCUUCCACUUGGCCCUAUGACGUGGUGAACCCAUGGCAAUCUGAGUGUCUGAGGAGUGUGAGAAUGUCAUAUGGAGGGCCAGGCACAUGGGGCUCACACCUGUAGUCCCAGCACUUCGGGAGGCUGCGGCACGUCGAUCACUUGAGUGCAGGGAGUUCAAGACCAGCCUGGGCAAUAUAGUAAGACCUCAUCUCUUAAAAGAAUGUUGUGUGGAGCCUGUGGCAAACCUUGACAGAACAACCACAAUCAUGGUUAUUGAUGAGUAUUGUUGAGUGAUCGCCUCAUCAACAGGUCACCAUUCCCUUUUGAGAAACAGCUGCUGGCUUGCUCAUGGGUUGAGUAGACAGCACAUUUCACUGCAAUUCACUAAAAGAUCAUGCAACAUAAGCUGUCAAUCAGUACCUGGUGUUGUCUGAUCCACCAAGCCAUAGAGAUGGGCCUGUCCAACAAAACUAUCAUAAACAUGGAGGCAGUACAUGUGAGGUUUGUUAUGGACUGAAUAGUGUUCCCCCAAAAUUCAUAUUUUGAAGGCCUAGACCCCGUUUGCAGACAGGACCUUUAAGGAAGUGAGGUAACCAUCAAGGUUAAGUGAGGUCAUCAGGGUGGGUCCUGACCCAAUGGGACUGGUGUCCAUAAGAAAAGGUGUGACACCAGACAUGAGCACACACAGGAGAGACCACCUGAGGACCUGCAGAGAAGGCGGCUCUCUGUGAGGCAAGGAGAGAGUCCUCGGCAGAAACCAACCCCAUCAGCACCUUGAUCUUGGACUUCUAGCCUCUAGAGCCGUGAGAAAUACACUUCCAUUAUGACAGCCCGAACAGACUGACACGAGGUUGUCCUCAAGCAUAUCCGAGACACCCUGAGACACCACAUGAGCAGGAGGCUCGCCCUCCAAAGGCACCCACUCCCUCUGCAAUCCUUGCUCCUCCACCUGCAUUUUUGGUUUUAUGGGGAGUUCCCUAAAACAAGCUGAGGAAUGAAAAAUGGAGCCUGGUGUACAGAUGGUUCUGCAUACUAGGCUGGUGCGGCGGGCCCGGGCUCAGCAUCACAGCCCUACUCCAGCUGGCCCUGAUGGACGUGGUGGAAAGGAAUUCCAUGCAGCUGGCCAAACUUCAAGCCUCACACCUGAUUAUCCUCUCCUUUACCUGGAGGGACAGUUGAUGAUCAGGGGCUUAGAAGGCACAGGUUUGGAGGAUUGGAGUUGAGGAGGUAUGUGGACCGACAGACCGUGUGGAGGGGUCUGGAGGUGAGGGGGCUUUUGUGCUCCACGUGCGUGCUCCCCAGGACUCCUCCUGCACCUGCAAGCUCGGUGGGGGUGGGGGUGGGGGUGGGGGGCGUGGUUCAGGGGAUUCCCAGCUCUGCAGAGGUCGCCAGCUCUGCUGCUCUAUCCCAGCCUUUCACAAAGCGCGCAUCCGUGUGGCCGUGGUGGCGUGGAUGGAGAUUAUACGUGGGCUGAACACCAACAAGUGGGUGCGGACCUUCCUCCCGCUUUACCCUGAAGUCCCAGCCCGGAGCACGCGGCCGUGGUGAGCUGCGAUCCC
rnacentral:lncRNA from 1 species